UACAGAGGUCUCAAGCGUUGUUCGGAUUCAUUGGGCGUAAAGGGUGCGUAGGCGGCGCGGUAAGUCGGGUGUGAAAUCUCGGAGCUUAACUCCGAAACUGCAUUCGAUACUGCCGUGCUUGAGGACUGGAGAGGAGACUGGAAUUUACGGUGUAGCGGUGAAAUUCAUAGAUAUUCGCAAGAACACCAGUGGCGAAGGCGGCUCACUGGUCCGGUACUGACGCUGAGGUGCGAAAGCGUGGGGAGCAAACAGGG
rnacentral:rRNA from 1 species